rnacentral:siRNA from 1 species
UCCACAUGUCUAUAUUUGCAG